UACGUAGGGUGCGAGCGUUGUCCGGAAUUAUUGGGCGUAAAGAGCUUGUAGGCGGUUUGUCGCGUCUGCCGUGAAAAUCCGAGGCUCAACCUCGGACUUGCGGUGGGUACGGGCAGACUAGAGUGUGGUAGGGGAGGCUGGAAUUCCUGGUGUAGCGGUGAAAUGCGCAGAUAUCAGGAGGAACACCGAUGGCGAAGGCAGGUCUCUGGGCCACUACUGACGCUGAGAAGCGAAAGCAUGGGGAGCGAACAGG
rnacentral:rRNA from 1 species